rnacentral:tRNA from 1 species
GGUGGUAUAGUAUAAUGGCCAGUACAACACGUUGUGGAUAUGAAUAUACAAGUGUUCCGUGUAGAUCUGGGUUCGAUUCCCAGUACCGCCA